CAGACCUCUAAUCGAAAAGA
rnacentral:rRNA from 3 species